GCUAAUGUUUGUAUUUUUUAAUUUUUUAUAGAGAUGAGGUCUUGCUAUAUGACCUAGGCUGGUCUCAAAUUCCUGGAAUCAUAUAAUCCUAGACCUUGUUUUCCUGAGUCGCUGGGAUUACAGGCAUGAAUCAGUGUACCUGGCCUUAACAUCUUAUUUUUACAUUGUGACCAGCUUGUUCAGAAGUUCAUUAGAGGUAAUUAAAAUAUCAAUUAUUUCAAUUGAUAAAUUGAGAACAUAUUGAAACUCAUCAGUUAUUUAACAUGAACUUACCCCUUCUUCUGUUUUCUUGCUAUCUUUAUAAUUGUUUUUUAAAAAUUAUGCCCACUAUUAGAGUCAAAUCAAAAAUUUUUUAAAAGUAUGUUUUAUUCUUAGUCUCUUCUGCUUAUGGAUAUUUCAUUACAGUAAUUUUGUUUCUCAUGUGUCUUUUGUUAAUAACUGAAAUCCAGCCUAGUUCAGCAGGGAUUGAAAUUAAACUGCAGGGCUAAAUAUUCCUAGGACCAGAAUUAAAUUAAUGAUCUGCCUAGGGCUGCUGAUAUACAGAUCUGUGCAGGUGUCAGCUUUGAUUGAAUACGAAAUCAACAUUCAUGUCUUUAGUCAGUAAAUGGGCAAUGGAAAGUUAUUCAUUUUUCUUUAGUUAACUGUAAAUGUCUCUGAGUUCUCCCUCUUUUCACUCUUGUGUAAUGGGUCUAAAAUUGGCAACAAAAUUCUAUUGGAUGAACUAAAUUUUAGAGAUAAAGAUUUUCAACAUUUCCAGUAAUGUAUUCAGUUGGCAGUUGGCAACAGACAGUAUUGAUUGGGGAGUUUAAAUAUUUAAAGUUUAUAUUUUUCCUCCUCCAAAACAUUGGGGAGAGAAAGCGAGAGAAAGUGAAGGAGAGAGAGAAUUCUGAAAUAUGUUCUGGAAAAUUCAGAAAUGUUAAAUAUAUUAUGUGAAUCCUUGGAUCUUCUCGUUUCACCAUCUUGUAAAUUAUUUGUGUGAAUUUCUGCUGCUUCAUAGCUCAGCAAAGCUGUUCUUCCUUAAACCUGAAUCAUGAACACACUUAGGGAGAUGACUAAGACAAAGCUGUCCGUGCUAAAAUAGAUUUGAUGUGAGCUUUUAGGUUACUAAGUAGCUUUCAUUAAAUUCAAAGCACAUAUUUGCUGUGUUUUGUUUCUUUUAAGCUUGUAUGAGAGCUACCUUAAAACAAAUGCAGACAGAAACUCUGUAUAUUUUGACUAUUUGUUGUUACAAAAAUGAAUUUCUGGGAGAGAUUCUGAUUUGGUGGUAUAUUGUGAUGAGUACCAUCUGUCUUUUCUACAAUGCUGUGUACAAAAUUAUAGUAAUGCUUGCCUAUUCCCUCCCUCCUCUGCCAAAAGAUGUCCACAACCUAUUCACCUCCAGAACCUGUGAAUAUGUUACCUUAUAUGACAAAGGGAUUUUAUAGCUGUGAAUAAAUUAAGGUCCUAGAGAUGAGCUUAUCCUAUAUUAUCUGCUGUCCAAUGUAAUCACAUGGUCCUUAAAAGUGAAAGAGGGAAGCAGAGAAGGAUUCAGUAUGAGAAAGACUCAACUGAAGAUUGCUUAUUGAAGAUGAAAGAGGGGGGACGAUGAACCAAGGGAUAUGAACAGCUUCUAGAUACUGGAAAAGACAAGGAAAUAGAUUCUUCCCUAGAGCCUCCAGAAAGGAAGGUAGUCUUGCUAACAUUUGAUUUAGGCUAGUAAGACCUGUAUUGAACUUCUAACCUACAGAACUGUAACAUAGUAAAUUUGCAUCAUUUUAAGGCACUGAGUUUGUGGGAAUUUGUUAAUGGAUCUAUGGAAAAGUAAUAUACCAAUAAAAUAAUGAAAUUAGAGAUUUGUAAUAGUUUCUCUGCUACUUGUUCCCUCAAUAUCAAGAAAUUUUCCACCCUGCUUGACCCUCUUUGGAAAUGUGUACCCAUCUUUGGACAUUUGUCAGAAAAUUAGGAAUAUAUAUAAAUUACUUUUGAUCUAUUAAAUUAACCUUGAAAUGUACUGAGAUAGGUCUUGAAAUGUGUGAAAUGUGGUAUUUUCAAAAUGUGUAUAAUUUCCUAUGCCUAUGUAUACAUAUUUGAUAUACUUUCUUCAAAUAUAUCAUGAAAAUUCAAAGAAGUUACAUGGAUUAUAAGUCAACUUGAAAUGCAAAAAGUCUUUAUUGGCUUAGACUGUUGUAAAGCCUUUGGUCAUAUAUAGUCAUAUUUUCCAAUUUUAUUGUUUUAAUUUGACUUGUACUAUAGUGUUAAAAUGAACAUAAAUGGAAACCUAAAAAUAAAAUCACAGGAAGAAAAUUAAGAAAAGAGAAAUAGUAUCCUAGGCACCUAGAAGGAGUUGUUUUGGUUUAUCACUUUAUUUAGCUCUCAGUUUUCUGACAUCUGGGAGGAAUGCCUGAUAGGUUACAUGGUUCUUAUCGUAAAUGGAGCAGAGAAACUCCUUGGGAGAAGCAAACUUAUUAGAAAACUAAAUUCAAGAGGAAUGUAUUAUAUAGAUCUUUCCAUAAGCAAUGUAAUCAAUAGUGUUUUCAGUUAUUGUUUUAAACAGUAAUAACAACUAACAUUUAUUGCUAUGUGUCAGACACUGUUUAAGCAAUUUAUAAUUUCAUUUAAUUCCCAGGUAGGUACUAUCAUCCAGCUUUAAAAAAAAAAUCAGGGUUUCAUUUCUUAGCAAUAAUACAAAGUAACUAGGGACAUAAUACGCCUUUUGUAGACCCUAAAGAUUUUCGUGAGGCUCUUCCUCCAUUAAAAAAAUUAAACUUUUGAUUAUGUUAGAAUGAAGACACAAAUAACGCAGGCUAGUUUUAUUAUUCUGUGUUCAGUAUUAUAUUCUUUUUUCCUGUUUUAAAAUACAUCAAAACAUUUUCAUGUUGGCCAUCUACCAAGGCCAACUGCUCUAGUAGACACAGUGUCAAUGGCUAACAUGAAAAUGUUUUAAUGUAUUUUAAAACAGGAAAAAGAAUAUAAUAAGAGCAUGUGGAGGAUCUAACUUCACAGAGUAUGGGUGAGGGAGAUGUUGAAGUCAGGGUUUCCUUAGAAAGUGAUGCCUGACCUUGGCCAGGUGAGGGGCGAUGAGCAUAGCCAUUCCAGCAGAGAGUACAGCAUUUGUGAAGGGUUGAAGUGGAAAAGAACUUGGCUGAAACAUAUUACAUGGAAACUAAAGUGCAAACAAAAAGUUUGCGACUGCACUUAGUAAAUUUAAUAAAAUCAUCUCUACCCUCUAACAGACUGAGUUUUCAGAUGCCUAGUGUACCUUUAGUAGGUUUUAAACUUCAAUUUAUGAUUGAAUUUUUAGUAUUUGAAGUUUGAUUAAUCUUUAUUAUUGAUUACACUGGGGUCCAGAAUGGUUUACAUACUAGAUGUAGUUGCUGAAAAUAAGCAUAUGCAUGUCAUGAACUAUAAAAUGGAAAUAUAUAAAAGUACAAGAUAUCAACAUAUUGUAGGUAAAACUUAUAUAUGCCUUAUGGCCAUGAAAUUUCCAUUUGAAGCUUCAGGGAAUUUUUAAAAAAUUUAUUGAGAGUUUUCCUGAGAGCAUUUAAAAUCUAUCUUUAUGUUUUUGAUUUGAAAGAAGAUUACAUUAUCCCAUUUCCUAGUCCAUUACAACUGGUGAUUUUACAGAGUUUUUCUUUGUUGUUUCUCAUAUAUUCAUUCCUCUCUUUCUGUUUAGACCAUCUGUAUUAGUCUGGGCUCUCCAGAAACAGUAGCAAUAGGGCGUGUUUCUGUAUAUAUAUACACACACACACACACACACACACACACACACACACACACACACACACACACACACACACACCCUUGUUGUUAUGAAGACUGAGAUGUCCCUAGAUCUGUAGUCAGCAAGCUAGAGACCCAAGAACACCUAUUGUAUAGUUCCAGUCUUAGUCCAUGGUAUAAGAACCAAGACAGGUGAUGGUGUAAGUUCCAGCCUUAGUCCAAGCUUAAAGGCAAGAGAGAACUGAUGUCCUAGUUUGAAGAUGUUCAGGCAGAGGGAGAGUGAUUCUUGCUCAGCUUUUUUGUUCUGUUGGGACCUUCAGUGGGUUAGAUGAGGUCCAAUCAUAUUGUGAAGGCAUUAUGCUUUUCUUCAGUCCACUGAUUUAAAUGUUAAUCUCAUCUAGCAAUAUCCUCACAGACAUAUUCAAAAUAAUAUUUAAACAAAUAUCUGGGCACCCUGUGGCCCAGUCAAGUUGACAUAUAAAAUUAACCUUUAUACUACCUUUGUCUUAUUUGCUCUUUAUUGCUUCAUACCUACAAAGAUUACAGAAGCAUCUUACUUGCAUGGUCUUCCUAACUUGUUUGUGUUUUCUGCUGGGCUUGUUCCUCACCUAUAUGCCUGCUAAAGCCUAACACAGAUAACUUUUACAAGCAGGAACAUUCUGGUGGGUGUUUCAAGGUCAUACUGUUUCCUGGGCUCCAGCUAUUUGUUUCUGCAUUCAUUAAUCUGCUGUUUAAUAAAGCAUUCGAUAAGACUGACAUCUUACAGAAAUAACCUCGAAUACCCCUAAAUUAAUACGAAAAAGUAAAUCACCGAUUUUGGUUUUGUAUUUUUUGUAACAAAUUGCUUACAACACACCCACAUUGACCUCUAACAGGUUUUAUUGGAGAAACCACACACACACACAUACACCCCUGCUCCAAUCAGUUCUGCCAGAUGAAUCUUCAUUAAACACAUCUUUAAUCCCAUGACUCCCCAGCUUAGAAACCUCGGUGGUUUUCCCACUGCUAAUCAAAUAAAGUUAAAUUUUGUUAUAAAAGCCCUACCAUUUUUUUUCUUUUCUCUUUCUAUGUAAACUCUAGCCCUUUUUAAAUCAACUUUGCUAGUGCAAAUUUUUUGUUUUACCACUCCAUUGCAAUUAAAACGUUUAGGUAAGAUUACAUGACAUUUGCUACUUAUUACCGUUUCCUCUGGUUAUCUGCAUAUAUGUUAUUUAAUACUAAAUUUUAAUUUCUUGUUUUCUCAUUGCAUCUGGCACCAUAUUUUAUAUUUAAUAGGAAGCAAACACAUUUAAUGGAUGUUAGUGUGUGGGGGCAGAUGGAUAGAUAGAUGGAUGGAUAAAUGGAUGGCAGAUUUCCUUCCUACUUCUUUUCUUUUUGCUUAUUAUGGUAUCUUCAACAGAAGCUAUACUCCCUUAUAAUUUUAUUAGCUUAAGUGUUUUCAGUGUACCUUUUGAAACUAGUAUGCUUGGCAACAAAAUAAUCUUUUCCCUUUUUAUCUGUCCAGUGUUAAGCCCUUCCAGUUCUCCCUCGUAGUAUGUGGAGAGAUUUUGAUACACAUGCUCUCCUUCCUAGAUCAGAUAAACCAUUCUGUCACAUCAACCAUGAGAGAUUACAGAUUUGCUUUUUUUUCCCUAUUGAGACUAUUGACCUUGUUGUCUCAAUAUUUAAAAGUAAUUUUUUAGUUACAUCAUAUUUUGAAAAAGUCACUACCCACAGUCCUAUAAACGUGAUGUUAGAUCUUAGUGUUCAGCUACUUACUUUCAUUCCUUGAGAUGAUCAUUAGGGAAAUGAAGGAACCUAACAUUUCUUGAGGGUUUGGUAAUGUGCAGGUUUUAAAUAACCUUGUGAGAUUAUUAAUCCUAUUUUACAGUUGAGGCAGUUGAGGCUGGGAGGGAAGUGGGGGUAGGUUAUUUCUCCAGGAUUGAUAGUGAGUUACAGAUGGGAGCAGACUUUGUGAAACUUGAUUUUGUGUUUACACUACUAUAUAACAUAUCAAAAUGAACCAGUAAUACUCUGUCAACCUCAGUGAGCCUUCUAAAUUGGAACCAACCUGUCUUUCAUCACUUUGUUGGGAUCAAUCCCUGAACGUUUAAAGAUAACAAGUUUUUUGUUAAGAAUAUUUGAAAGAAAAUGGAAUUGUCAAAAUUUCAAAGUCUUUAAGCAAUCAUAAUGACUAUACCAUUAAAAAUACUUAUCCAGAAACAAUAGUUUUAUUGUUAAGGUAUUAACUCCCUUGUUGUGAUAGCUC